GACAGAGGGUGCAAACGUUGUUCGGAAUUACUGGGCGUAAAGCGCGUGUAGGCGGCUAAGUAAGUCGGGCGUGAAAUCCCACGGCUCAACCGUGGAAGUGCACUCGAAACUGCAUAGCUAGAGUCCUGGAGAGGAAGGUGGAAUGCUUGGUGUAGAGGUGAAAUUCGUAGAUAUCAAGCGGAACACCGGUGGCGAAGGCGGCCUUCUGGACAGUGACGUGACGCUGAGACGCGAAAGCGUGGGGAGCAACAGGG
rnacentral:rRNA from 1 species